rnacentral:rRNA from 1 species
CCUACGGGGUGCAGAAGUGGGGAAUAUUGGACAAUGGGCGAAAGCCUGAUCCAGCCAUGCCGCGUGUGUGAAGAAGGCCUUCGGGUUGUAAAGCACUUUCAGUGGGGAAGAAAGCCUUGGGGCUAAUACCCUCGAGGAAGGACAUCACCCACAGAAGAAGCACCGGCUAACUCCGUGCCAGCAGCCGCGGUAAUACGGAGGGUGCGAGCGUUAAUCGGAAUUACUGGGCGUAAAGCGCGCGUAGGCGGUCUGAUAAGCCGGUUGUGAAAGCCCCGGGCUCAACCUGGGAACGGCAUCCGGAACUGUCAGGCUAGAGUGCAGGAGAGGAAGGUAGAAUUCCUGGUGUAGCGGUGAAAUGCGUAGAGAUCGGGAGGAAUACCAGUGGCGAAGGCGGCCUUCUGGACUGACACUGACGCUGAGGUGCGAAAGCGUGGGUAGCAAACAGGAUUAGAUACCCGAGUAGUC